GCGGGCGUAGCAAUACGUCAGCGGCAGACGGGUGAGUAACGCGUGGGAACAUACCUUUUGGUUCGGAACAACCCAGGGAAACUUGGGCUAAUACCGAAUAAGCCCUUACGGGGAAAGAUUUAUCGCCGAAAGAUUGGCCCGCGUCUGAUUAGCUAGUUGGUGAGGUAAUGGCUCACCAAGGCGACGAUCAGUAGCUGGUCUGAGAGGAUGAUCAGCCACAUUGGGACUGAGACACGGCCCAAACUCCUACGGGAGGCAGCAGUGGGGAAUAUUGGACAAUGGGGGCAACCCUGAUCCAGCCAUGCCGCGUGAGUGAUGAAGGCCCUAGGG
rnacentral:rRNA from 1 species